AGCUUGCUCCCAUUUCUCAGCGGCGGACGGGUGAGUAACACGUGGGCAACCUGCCCUACAGACUGGGAUAACUCCGGGAAACCGGAGCUAAUACCGGGUAAUACAUAGCAUCGCAUGAUGCAACGUUGAAAGUUGGCCUUUGGCUAACACUGUAGGAUGGGCCCGCGGCGCAUUAGCUAGUUGGUAAGGUAACGGCUUACCAAGGCCACGAUGCGUAGCCGACCUGAGAGGGUGAUCGGCCACACUGGGACUGAGACACGGCCCAGACUCCUACGGGAGGCAGCAGUAGGGAAUCUUCCGCAAUGGACGAAAGUCUGACGGAGCAACGCCGCGUGAGUGACGAAGGCCUUCGGGUCGUAAAGCUCUGUUGUUAGGGAAGAACAAGUACCGUUCGAAUAGGGCGGUACCUUGACGGUACCUAACCAGAAAGCCACGGCUAACUACGUGCCAGCAGCCGCGGUAAUACGUAGGUGGCAAGCGUUGUCCGGAAUUAUUGGGCGUAAAGCGCGCGCAGGCGGUCUCUUAAGUCUGAUGUGAAAGCCCACGGCUCAACCGUGGAGGGCCAUUGGAAACUGGGGGACUUGAGUGCAGAAGAGGAGAGUGGAAUUCCACGUGUAGCGGUGAAAUGCGUAGAUAUGUGGAGGAACACCAGUGGCGAAGGCGGCUCUCUGGUCUGUAACUGACGCUGAGGCGCGAAAGCGUGGGGAGCGAACAGGAUUAGAUACCCUGGUAGUCCACGCCGUAAACGAUGAGUGCUAGGUGUUGGGGGGUUCCACCCUCAGUGCUGAAGUUAACACAUUAAGCACUCCGCCUGGGGAGUACGACCGCAAGGUUGAAACUCAAAGGAAUUGACGGGGGCCCGCACAAGCAGUGGAGCAUGUGGUUUAAUUCGAAGCAACGCGAAGAACCUUACCAGGUCUUGACAUCCUCUGCCACUCCUAGAGAUAGG
rnacentral:rRNA from 1 species